rnacentral:rRNA from 1 species
GUUGGUGUCUAUAGCGGCGGGGUUCACCUCUUCCCAUUCCGAACAGAGUAGUUAAGCCCACCAGCGCUGAUGGUACUGCGGUAGAUGCCGCGGGAGAGUAGGUCGAUGCCAACU